AGCGAACGCUGGCGGCAGGCUUAACACAUGCCAGUCGAGCGGGCAUCCUUGUGGUGUCAGCGGCAGACGGGUGAGUAACGCGUGUGAACGUGCCCUUCGGUUCGGAAUAACUCCGGGAAACUUGAGCUAAUACCGGAUACGUGCGAGAGCAGAAAGGUUUAUCUGCCGAAGGAUCGGCCCGCGUCUGAUUAGCUAGUUGGUGAGGUUACGGCUCACCAAGGCGACGAUCAGUAGCUGGUCUGAGAGGAUGAUCAGCCACACUGGGACUGAGACACGGCCCAGACUCCUACGGGAGGCAGCAGUGGGGAAUAUUGGACAAUGGGGGCAACCCUGAGCCAGCCAUGCCGCGUGAGUGAUGACGGCCUUAGGGUUGUAAAGCUCUUUUCUCCGGGACGAUAAUGACGGUACCGGAGGAAUAAGCCCCGGCUAACUUCGUG
rnacentral:rRNA from 1 species